GCACUGAAAGGAUGAUAAUUCUUUCUUUAGUUAUUUUUUGUGACAGUACUUUUAAGUCCAUCUUUUAUUAAAUUUUAAAUCUAGUAGCCGAAAUAAAUUAUUAAUGUAACUCACCUUACUUUCUCACUUAUUGGCUGCACUUUGAUUUGUAAUAUUCCCUUAAAGGGCGGAAGAAUUUACCUUUAGGUAAGUCCUAGACAACGGUAUACAAGCUAUAGUAAGUAAGUAGCGAUUACUUGGUGGUUAUCAAUUAUAUGGUAAGUUCCCCUAAAGUACUUCUUUCAGCCGCCAUAAUAUUUAAGUUUGGACCAUCUUAGUAGUAGUAAUCCUUGUCCUAAUUAGUUUAAUUUCUAUAUAACUGGGUAUCUAAUCCAGGUUUAUGUGUCAGAAUUUAGUAUUAGUUAUAGUACAGUAAAAUUUAGUAAGUUAGCAGUAUUUCACUACAUAGCAACUUUUUAGGUACAAUAAAAAACAAAACAAAAACUAUAAAUUUAUCUAUUAAGUAUGACCGCGGUUGCUGGCACUUAAUACACCUAGAUUAAACAAAUAACUAAAUUUAAAUUUCUUUAAUUUAUUAAAACUUUUAACUGAGAAAUUUAUUUAUACCUCAUAUUAGAUUAGUUUGUAUAUUUAUAGCACCAUCAUAUUAAAGUGGCCUGUUCUAAGGGGGUGUGUGUACCAUUUUAGA
rnacentral:rRNA from 1 species